rnacentral:sRNA from 1 species
GAAAGUUCUCAGUUUCUGUCUGUGUCUGCAGAGGGAGGCCAUGAGUGUGUGGCAAAUGGAAUCUCCAGGAAUAGCUCCUCACCUUGUAUUUCAGGAACCACACACACUCUUCAUGACUCUUCUGUUGCUUCCAUAGAAACCAAAUCUAGACAAAGGAGUCACAGUAGUAUUCAAUUCAGCUUCAAAGAAAAACUAUCAGAAAAAGUUUCGGAGAAGGAAACAAUAGUUAAGGAGUCAGGUAAACAACCAGGAGCAAAACCUAAAGUAAAACUUGCCAGAAAAAAGGAUGAUGACAAGAAAAAAUCUUCAAAUGAAAAACUCAAACAAACCAGUGUAUUCUUCAGUGAUGGUCUGGAUUUAGAGAACUGGUAUAGCUGUGGAGAGGGAGACAUUUCUGAAAUUGAGAGUGACAUGGGUUCUCCAGGAUCUCGAAAAUCUCCCAGUUUCAACAUUCAUCCUCUCUAUCAACAUGUGCUCCUGUAUCUCCAGUUGUAUGAUUCAUCCAGGACUUUGUAUGCUUUCUCUGCCAUCAAAGCCAUCUUGAAAACUAACCCUAUAGCUUUUGUAAAUGCCAUUUCAACUACUAGUGUAAAUAACGCAUAUACUCCUCAGUUGUCUCUCCUUCAGAAUCUAUUGGCCAGACACCGGAUUUCUGUUAUGGGCAAAGAUUUUUAUAGUCACAUUCCAGUGGACUCAAAUCAUAACUUCCGGAGUUCUAUGUACAUAGAAAUUCUUAUUUCUCUCUGCUUAUAUUACAUGCGCAGCCAUUACCCAACUCAUGUCAAGGUUACUGCACAAGAUUUAAUAGGCAAUCGAAACAUGCAAAUGAUGAGCAUAGAAAUUCUGACACUACUCUUCACUGAGCUGGCAAAAGUAAUAGAAAGCUCAGCGAAGGGUUUCCCUAGUUUUAUUUCUGAUAUGUUAUCUAAGUGCAAAGUUCAGAAAGUGAUUCUUCAUUGUUUGCUGUCAUCUAUCUUUAGUGCUCAGAAAUGGCAUAGUGAAAAAAUGGCAGGUAAGAACUUGGUUGCUGUGGAAGAAGGUUUCUCAGAGGACAGCCUUAUUAAUUUCUCAGAGGAUGAAUUUGACAAUGGCAGCACGUUGCAGUCACAACUUCUUAAGGUGCUUCAGAGGCUGAUUGUUCUAGAACACAGAGUAAUGACUAUUCCUGAAGAGAAUGAAACAGGUUUUGAUUUUGUUGUAUCUGACUUAGAACACAUCAGUCCCCAUCAACCCAUGACUUCUCUUCAGUAUUUGCAUGCUCAGCCAAUCACGUGUCAAGGCAUGUUCCUCUGUGCAGUGAUACGAGCUUUGCAUCAGCACUGUGCAUGUAAGAUGCACCCACAAUGGAUUGGUUUAAUCACAUCUACUCUGCCUUACAUGGGAAAAGUUCUACAGAGAGUGGUUGUUUCUGUGACACUACAACUGUGCAGAAAUUUAGAUAAUCUAAUUCAGCAGUACAAAUAUGAAACAGGAUUAUCUGAUAGUAGGCCUCUGUGGAUGGCAUCAAUUAUUCCACCAGAUAUGAUUCUUACUCUUUUGGAAGGGAUUACAGCCAUUAUCCAUUACUGUUUGUUGGAUCCAACUACACAGUAUCACCAACUUUUGGUCAGUGUAGACCAGAAACACUUGUUUGAAGCACGCAGUGGAAUCCUCUCAAUCCUUCAUAUGAUCAUGUCCUCUGUGACACUGCUUUGGAGCAUACUCCAUCAAGCUGAUUCUUCAGAAAAGAUGACUAUUGCCGCAUCCGCAUCUGUUACCACUAUUAAUCUUGGAGCUACAAAGAACUUGAGACAACAGAUUCUGGAAUUGUUGGGCCCCAUUUCAAUGAAUCAUGGUGUUCACUUUAUGGCUGCCAUUGCAUUUGUGUGGAAUGAAAGAAGACAGAAUAAAACAACCACCAGGACCAAGGUCAUUCCUGCAGCCAGUGAAGAACAGCUUUUAUUAGUGGAAUUGGUUCGUUCAAUCAGUGUCAUGAGAGCAGAGACUGUUAUCCAGACUGUGAAAGAAGUUUUAAAGCAGCCACCAGCCAUAGCCAAGGACAAGAAACAUCUUUCUUUGGAAGUCUGCAUGCUUCAGUUUUUCUAUGCUUAUAUUCAAAGAAUUCCAGUGCCCAAUUUAGUGGAUAGCUGGGCGUCACUGUUGAUACUUCUGAAAGACUCUAUACAACUGAGUCUUCCAGCUCCAGGGCAGUUUCUUAUACUUGGGGUUCUGAAUGAGUUUAUUAUGAAAAACCCUAGUUUGGAAAAUAAAAAAGACCAAAGAGACCUUCAGGAUGUAACUCACAAAAUAGUGGAUGCAAUUGGUGCAAUUGCUGGUUCUUCUCUGGAACAAACAACAUGGCUGCGACGAAAUCUUGAAGUUAAGCCUUCUCCCAAAAUAAUGGUAGAUGGAACCAAUUUGGAAUCUGAUGUUGAAGAUAUGUUAUCACCUGCAAUGGAAACCGCAAACAUAACUCCUUCUGUAUAUAGUGUCCAUGCAUUGACAUUACUCUCUGAGGUUUUGGCUCAUCUUUUGGAUAUGGUUUUCUAUAGUGAUGAAAAGGAGCGGGUUAUUCCUUUACUUGUAAAUAUUAUGCAUUAUGUUGUGCCCUACCUCAGAAAUCACAGUGCACAUAAUGCCCCUAGUUAUCGAGCUUGUGUCCAGCUGCUCAGCAGUCUUAGUGGGUAUCAGUACACACGGAGAGCUUGGAAAAAAGAAGCUUUUGACCUCUUUAUGGAUCCCAGUUUCUUUCAGAUGGAUGCCUCUUGUGUUAAUCAUUGGAGAGCAAUUAUGGACAAUCUGAUGACACAUGAUAAAACAACAUUUAGAGAUUUGAUGACUCGCGUAGCAGUGGCUCAAAGCAGUUCACUUAAUCUCUUUGCAAACCGGGAUGUGGAGCUAGAACAGAGAGCUAUGCUUCUUAAAAGAUUAGCAUUUGCUAUUUUUAGCAGUGAAAUUGACCAGUACCAGAAAUAUCUUCCAGAUAUACAAGAGAGAUUGGUUGAGAGUCUCCGUUUGCCACAGGUGCCAACUCUCCAUUCUCAAGUGUUCCUGUUUUUCAGAGUGUUACUUUUAAGAAUGUCUCCCCAACACCUUACCUCACUCUGGCCUACCAUGAUUACAGAACUUGUACAAGUAUUUUUACUGAUGGAGCAGGAACUCACUGCUGAUGAAGAUAUUUCACGGACUUCAGGGCCCUCUGUGGCUGGUCUGGAGACAACAUACACAGGAGGUAAUGGCUUCUCUACUUCAUAUAACAGCCAGCGGUGGUUAAACCUCUAUCUCUCUGCUUGCAAAUUUUUGGAUUUGGCUCUCGCAUUGCCCUCUGAAAACCUUCCUCAGUUUCAGAUGUACCGAUGGGCCUUUAUUCCAGAAGCCUCAGAUGAUUCAGGUUUGGAAGUCAGAAGACAGGGUAUACAUCAACGAGAAUUUAAACCUUACGUGGUACGACUAGCAAAACUUCUUCGGAAAAGAGCAAAGAAAAAUCCAGAGGAAGACAACUCAGGGAGAACAUUGGGUUGGGAGCCAGGGCACUUGCUGCUCACCAUCUGCACCGUGCGCAGUAUGGAGCAGCUCCUGCCGUUCUUCAAUGUGCUCAGUCAAGUCUUCAACAGCAAAGUCACAAGCCGAUGUGGAGGACACUCAGGGAGUCCUAUCCUCUACUCAAAUGCCUUCCCUAAUAAGGACAUGAAACUGGAGAACCACAAACCAUGUUCCAGCAAAGCCAGGCAAAAAAUAGAAGAGAUGGUAGAAAAAGAUUUUCUGGAAGGGAUGAUAAAAACUUGAGCACCACUGGUGGUUCCAUUUAGCUUACAUGUAAAUGUAAUUAUUUAAAACACACACACUGCUCUGCGUUGUAUAGUUUUUCCUUUUUUGUAUGUAACAGAACACAUUUCAGGUUGUAUUUAAUUUAAAUAUUUGUAUAUAAGAGCAAAUGUCUGAAUGUGGCCUGAAUCAAGUUUAAAUAUUGUUGGCUCAUACUGAUUAUGGUGCCUAAGAGAGCUAUAUAUAUACACACAUGUAAAGUCCAUUGUUUUUAUUGUCCUGAGUUGUCUUAAACCUGCAAAAUAUACACUACCCAUUUUUUUUUUUCCAUGGUUUCAGGCUUGGUUUAAUUAAGAUUGGUUGGGGAUUUUUCACUUUUCCUUAUUAACCAUGUUCUGGUAUCAGAGUGGUGUUCCUUCUCCACCAGAGGCUGGGAAACGUAUUAUAAUUAGUUUUUCUCCCACAUACCUUCACCAAGAGCAGUGAAGAAUAACUGAAGGCUGGACCAUGCAUCCUUAAAAGUAUUGCACGAGCAUCUCCACCUCAUUAUGGAAGAGGGAUGGACAACCCCCUAUUCAUACCUCUGAGUUCCUGAUGGCAUUAGUCAUAUAGUAACAAAUUCCAAGCCCUUAAAUAAAUGGAAAACAGACCAAAUUCUUUUAAAUAAGAACUAUCCCAGCUUACUUGUGAGUCUGCUUCUGCAUAUACUCGGACGACAUCUUCUGUACCAGAGGGCCGGACAAAAGCUCGAGAAAGCUUGUACUUCUUCACCAGGUCAUUGAUUGCCUCCUGUAAUCCUGGGGGUGUAACUGCUUGUCUUUCAGCAUUGGUAGUGCUAAUAACUCUCCUGUCUGCAACCUAAGUGCAAGCAUUUCAUAUUUGUUACUCUAUUACACUUCCUUUCAGAAGCUUAACCUGUUAAACAUACAUUGUACGAAAAGUGCCAGACGAAAUAUAAAAUUACAUUAAAACUUCUUUCUCCAAGGUCAGGGUAAUUAAUUUCAACAUUUGUACAACUUUUCUCUUUUUCUUCAGUCUAUAAAGAAUUACCUUUGGCAAAAAAUAUUUCCACAAAUGUUUAGAGUUACCACUAAGAUAAUGGCCAGUAAAUACGAUAUGACUUUAAGUCCCAUAUCACACACACACACAAAAAAGUGGUAGCCCAUUAUAUAAGAAGACCGAUAAGAAUCUCUUAAAUAUGCCAAAAAUAAUCUGAACAAUCAGCCAUUUCUGUGAACUGUGGCUUUAGUACCUCCAACUGUCUUUCACAAAUUCUGUUGGUGAAUGUGUAAACUGGCAUAAACAUGUACAGAAAUCAAUUAGCAAUUUAUCUGAAUUCUCUCCCUCAGGAAGUACUCUGUGAACGAAACAUAAUGCAGAGUAAGUACUUUCACUUGAAAUGACAGGGGAUCUGAGUUUUGCUUCAAAAUAAUGUUGGGGCCAGGCGCAGUGGCUCACACCUGUAAUCCUAGCACUUUGGGAGGCCAAGGGAGAAGGAUCACCUGAGCUCAGGAGUUCAAGACCAGCCUGGGCAACAUAGUGAGAUCUCGUCUCUAAAUAAAAUAUACAAAAGAGGGGGUAUGAAGAAUGUAUAGGGCAAUAAUUGAAAUCUGUUGAAGCUGGGUACACAAAAGUUCAUUAUGUUGUUUCUCUACAUUUAUAUCUAUUUUUAAUUCUCCAUAAUAAAAUCUCUUUAAAAAA